rnacentral:rRNA from 1 species
CUUUGCUGGCGACCGGCGCACGGUGAGUAACACGUAUCCAACCUACCCUUUACUCGGGGAUAGCCUUUCGAAAGAAAGAUUAAUACCCGAUAGCAUAAUGAUUCCGCAUGGUUUCAUUAUUAAAGGAUUCCGGUAAAGGAUGGGGAUGCGUUCCAUUAGGUUGUUGGUGGGGUAACGGCCCACCAAGCCUUCGAUGGAUAGGGGUUCUGAGAGGAAGGUCCCCCACAUUGGAACUGAGACACGGUCCAAACUCCUACGGGAGGCAGCAUG